GUGACAUCACAUUCUGUUAUGAUCAGCGCAGUGCCUUAGUGACAUCACAUCCUGUUAUAAUGAUCAGCGCGGUGCCUUAGUGACAUCACAUCCUGUUAUAAUGAUCAGCGCGGUGCCUUAGUGACAUCACAUCCUGUUAUAAUAAUCACAUUCUGUUAUAAUGAUCAGUGGUGCCUUAGUGACAUCACAUUCUGUUAUAAUGAUCAGCGCGGUGCCUUAGUGACAUCACAUCCUGUUAUAAUGAUCAGCGCGGUGCCUUAGUGACAUCACAUCCUGUUAUAAUGAUCACAUUCUGUUAUAAUGAUCAGUGGUGCCUUAGUGACAUCACAUUCUGUUAUAAUGAUCAGCGCGGUGCCUUAGUGACAUCACAUCCUGUUAUAAUGAUCAGCGCGGUGCCUUAGUGACAUCACAUCCUGUUAUAAUGAUCAGCGAGGUGCCUUAGUGACAUCACAUCCUGUUAUAAUGAACAGCGCGGUGCCUUAGUGACAUCACAUCCUGUUAUAAUGAUCAGCGCGGUGCCUUAGUGACAUCACAUCCUGUUAUAUAAGUGACAUCACAUUCUGUUAUAAUGAUCAGUGGUGCCUUAGUGACAUCACAUCCUGUUAUAUAAGUGACAUCGCAUUCUGUUAUAAUGAUCAGCGCGGUGGCUUAGUGACUUCACAUUCUGUUAUAAUGAUCAGCGUGGUGCCUUAGUGACAUCACAUUCUGUUAUAAUGAUCAGCGCGGUGCCUUAGUGACAUCACAUUCUGUUAUAAUGAUCAGUGGUACCUUAGUGACAUCACAUUCUGUUAUAAUGAUCAGCGCGGUGCCUUAGUGACAUCACAUUCUGUUAUAAUGAUCAGUGGUGCCUUAGUGACAUCACAUCCUGUUAUAAUGAUCAGCGCGGUGCCUUAGUGACAUCACAUUCUGUUAUAAUGAUCAGUGGUGCCUUAGUGACAUCACAUUCUGUCAUAAUGAUCAGUGGUGCCUUAGUGACAUCACAUUCUGUUAUAAUGAUCAGCGCGGUGCCUUAGUGACAUCACAUCCUGUUAUAAUGAUCAGUGUGGUGCCUUAGUGACAUCACAUUCUGUUAUAAUGAUCAGUGGUGCCUUAGUGACAUCACAUUCUGUUAUAAUGAUCAGUGGUGCCUUAGUGACAUCACAUUCUGUUAUAAUGAUCAGUGGUGCCUUAGUGACAUCACAUUCUGUUAUAAUGAUCAGUGGUGCCUUAGUGACAUCACAUUCUGUUAUAAUGAUCAGUGGUGCCUUCGUGACAUCACAUUCUGUUAUGAUGAUCAAUAGUGGAAAACAGAAAUGUGGCCAGUUUUUGUCUUGUGGAGAAACCAGGAAAUGGAUGAUUUGACCAGGAAAUGAAUGAUUUGACCAGGAAAUGAAUGAUUUGACCAGGAAAUGAAUGCGUGAAUAAUUUGAUCCAUAUUGGAUCUGAGCGUGAAUGUGCUAUUCAAAAUGGUCAAUACCUGUGUUGUCAUUGAGGGGCAAUUUGUUUUAGCUAACGGCACUUUUAAUAAAUUACAAUGAACUGUU